GGAGGAAUAGGAGCUGGAGGGGAGGAGGAGAGAAGAAAAGAGGAGAAGGAGGGGGAAGAGAGGGAGCGGGUUCAAGGAGGGAAGGAGGAGGAGAAGGAGAGGAGGAGGAGAUGAGACCAAGGAGAAGAGGUGAAGGAGGAGAGGAGGACACAGAAAAGAGAAGAAAGAGGAGAGGAGACGGAGAAGAGGAGGAGGAGUAACAAAGGAGGAAGAAGAGGAAGAGGACUAGAAGAGCAAGUUCCAGUUCUCGGUGCGCCCCGUUCUGCAAGACACUCUCCUGUGGUCAGCCCUGGUCUGCAGAGGAUUCCCGCGCUGGAUCUCUGAAGGAUGCUGGCGCCCUCUCUGCAGCACAUUCCUGAUGCCCUUGCUGACACGUGUCCUCUGGGCCCUCUCCUGAAACCUGAUUCUCCGGGGUGUCUUCUGGCCUCACCUCUUCUGUCCAGUUCCAGCAAGCUCACUUUGCUUAGCCUUUGAAUCCCUUCCUUCACUGUCUGCCAUGACAGUUCAGGCCUUUCACCGUCACUCAGGCCUGGACCAUCACUGUUGCCCAUCCCAUGCCAUCAACAGACCCAGCACACCCUGCCUGCAUGGCGCUGCGCUGCACCUUCACUCUGGUCACGGGUCUGGCAGUCAGCUCACCAAUUCCUCCUGCUUCCCUGGGACUUGCCGGCUUUUAGCACUGCAAUUCACUCAGCAAACUGGGACUGUUGGUCACCCUACCUGGCAGCCAGUGAUAAGGGCUGGUGUCAUUGGCAUGACAGACCUGCCUUGGCUGAGCGUUCACCUGUCUUUGGAGUUCAGCCACCUUAGCAAGUCCUGGGUUUGUUCUUCAGACUUUGCUGCUCGCCCAUUGCCUGGAUCGGGGGCUACUUUGUAAACCACCAGGAAGACUCCAGUGUUUCUGGUUAAUUUUUAGAUGUUUGUUAAUUGCUCUUGGUCUCUCAUUAAUCCCCUGUGGGUCAUCCAGGAAACAUACUCACCACUGUCUGUUCUCUGAGUUUUCAUUUCCAGGCAUCCGCCCUGCCUGGAUCUCCUCACCUGCCAGGAACUUCCUCUCCACAAGCCGGCCAUCCCAGCAAAAGUUCUAACACCAAAGGUCUGGCAACUAGCCUGCCAUCUUGUGCCUGGAGCCGCCUGCGUGCCACCUACUCCCGAAGAUGGGAACCUUGUUGCCAGUUGGGCAGAUGCGGGGCAAUCCUGUACCAAGACCCCAUUUUACCACCUGCUUUCUCAGACCACUCUGGAACCCACUGUCUCAGAUUGUGUCCUCCAGGAAGCAGACCAUGAGAGGGAGUUGGCAGGGCCAAAGAUUUACUGGGGCUAACUAACACUCAGGAAAGGGAUAGGAAGGAAACAGGGCUGGAGAGCAGGUUGAGCCCGACCUGACAGUCUCGAGCAGCCCAACAGGGAGGUGUGGAGCAAGGGUUGCCCACUAGAGGGGCCUGCAUUGGGUACGGGUGAUGGGGUCCACAUGGUACCUGGCAUAUAGCAGGCUGUGCAAUCCAUAUUAACUGACUGGAUAAAUUAAUGCCCAGAAAAGGUGCCCUGGAGAAUGGGUGUGUGCUGAACACAAUAGGGAAGGGCCCAGCAUCUGCCUUGGCAUAGGCAGAACUGUGCUGUGCCCUGCAACAGGCCACCUGAGAGCUGCUUUGAUCUUGUGUGUACAUUAGAUGACUGCCAGGGGCAUGAAGGGGAUGUGCUUCCAGGGCAUUUGCUGGCAGGGCGUCUCGUGAUCUCUUGGUAUUGGUGUGAGCACAGCCUGGCAGGAGAGGGCAGAUCUCCAUGCAAAGUAUGUCAGAAAGCAGAUGGAAGCCAGGCCCCCUCCUGAAAGAGGCUCCUUGAAGGUAGGUGCACACUCAUGUCUUUGUUACUUGUAAGGGGGCAUCUUACAGGCAAGAGGAGUUAGGUGAAUGUGAAGAGGAAGGAACUACUCUGGGCAGGGGGCUGGGGGACGCUUCGUAGAGGAGGGGGUGUUUGAGCUGGGCCUUGAAGGUCAAAAGGGUUUUGUUAGGUGGGAAAUGGGGGAAGGACAGUCUGAAAGGGUUAGGUACAUUCAAGGAGCCCAGAGAAGGUUCGUGGCUGGAGCAGACGCAUUCGUAGAGUGAAGUCAUGGGAGAGAAGAGGCUGGGAAACUAGAUUGGUUCCAACUCCUAAAGGACCACUGAAGGAGUGUGGGCUGCACGCUGGGUGCAGCAGGUGAGUUUCCUCACUUGGGUUUCACUGUCAGCAUUUUAAAAAGGCAAACUGGUUUUCUUCCUGAGAAGAAUUCAUUGAUUCACUUGUGGCCAGUAAGUCAUCUGGGCCAGAGGUUGGUGGGGAGAUGAUAGGGGUGCAAGUGUCAUCUUCAAUCACAGCAUAACUGCCCUUGCUUUCUUACCUCUCGUUUAGAUAUUUCAAUGCUUGCUCAGGUCCCCUGCGCCCUCCUUCCUUCUCCCUUCCCAGCCAUACUACUUAUGGGAUGACUUUCUCUUUGUAAAAUGACCGUUAGUCUUAUCAAAUUAAUCCCAAAGUAAUACCA
rnacentral:lncRNA from 10 species